rnacentral:rRNA from 1 species
GUGAACGCUGGCGGUAGGCCUAACACAUGCAAGUCGAACGGCAGCACAGUAAGAGCUUGCUCUUACGGGUGGCGAGUGGCGGACGGGUGAGGAAUACAUCGGAAUCUACUUUUUCGUGGGGGAUAACGUAGGGAAACUUACGCUAAUACCGCAUACGACCUACGGGUGAAAGCAGGGGAUCUUCGGACCUUGCGCGAUUGAAUGAGCCGAUGUCGGAUUAGCUAGUUGGCGGGGUAAAGGCCCACCAAGGCGACGAUCCGUAGCUGGUCUGAGAGGAUGAGCGGCCACACUGGAACUGAGACACGGUCCAGGCUCCUACGGGAGGCAGCAGUGGGGAAUAUUGGGCAAAGGGCGCAAGCCUGAUCCAGCCAUACCGCGUGGGUGAAGAAGGCCUUCGGGUUGUAAAGCCGUUUUGUUGGGAAAGAAAAGCAGCAGGUUAAUACCCCGCGGUUCUGACGGUACCCAAAGAAUAAGCACCGGCUAACUUCGUG